rnacentral:rRNA from 1 species
GCCACGGCCAUACCAGCCUGGGUACGCCCGAUCUCGUCUGAUCUCGGAAGCUAAGCAGGAUCGGGCCUGGUUAGUACUUGAUGGGAGAACCCCCUGGGAAUACCAGGUGCUGUAAGCA